rnacentral:rRNA from 1 species
UACAGAGGUCUCGAGCGUUAGGCGGAAUCACUGGGCUUAAAGCGUGUGUAGGCGGGUCGUUAAGUGCCUUGUGAAAUCCCAUGGCUCAACCAUGGAACUGCUGGGCAUACUGGCGAUCUUGUGCCACCUAGGGGCGAGCGGAACAGAUGGUGGAGCGGUGAGAUGCGUAGAUAUCAUCUGGAACGCCAAUGGUGAAAACAGCUCGCUGGGGGUGUGCAGACGCUGAGACACGAAAGCCAGGGGAGCGAACGGG